UCCGAAGGGGGCUAGCGUUGCUCGGAAUUACUGGGCGUAAAGGGCGCGUAGGCGGAUGUUUAAGUCGGGGGUGAAAGCCCGGGGCUCAACCUCGGAAUUGCCUUCGAUACUGGACAUCUUGAGUACGGGAGAGGUGAGUGGAACUCCGAGUGUAGAGGUGAAAUUCGUAGAUAUUCGGAAGAACACCAGUGGCGAAGGCGACUCACUGGCCCGUUACUGACGCUGAGGCGCGAAAGCGUGGGGAGCAAACAGG
rnacentral:rRNA from 1 species